UUCGUCCAUUUUGCUUGCCGGUUUCUUUCAUGCAACUUGACUGUCAUUUGCAAUGCGCAUCCACCAAACUGACUGACUGCUUUUGUUCUGAUCAUCUUAGUAAUCAGCAAAUCGGAUUUCCUAUUUCAUAUCUAUACUGAAGAAAAUGGAUGUUGAGAAAUGAAGAGCAUUGUCACUGGCCUCCGACAGGUAACUCUUGUUACGCGCCACAACAAGGUUUUAAGGCAACAGGUAAUGAUACUCACUACAAAAGGAAAGGUGAAACACAUAUGACGGACCGUAACAUAAAAAGAUAGGCAUGCCAAUUUUCGCUCACUAACAAAUCGAUUCUUAUAGAAAUGGACUUAAAAAUAGGACAUUUGACAGCCCCUAGCAGCGUUAACAAAGCCCAAACAAACGGACCCAAGCCUAGGGGCAUUAUUAUAUAUCGCGCUCGCACCCCUGACGGCGGCGGCUCCUUGGCACCGAUCGAGCCACCGUACGUCCCGCCGAGGAGGAACAGGUCUGGAUGCUCCGAGUUUCUAAUCGAUGGCAGUACCCACUGUGAAUCAAUAUAAUUGGCUUCCAUUCCCAUUUACUGGCAUUAUUGAUUAAUUAUAUCGGUUUUCGAUUCAUCGACUGAUCUGAUAUGUUAACGUUCUGCGCGUGUGCAGACUGCAGACAUUCUAUUCUAUUCUAUCCUAUUUCUGCAGAGGAACGAUGGCGGCAGCUCUGAAAGAUGCAUUCGUAAGGAAGUCUGUGCUGGCAACGAUCCGCCUCGUCCUACCAGCCGGCGCAGCCCGCACGGGACCGGCCUCCAGUGAGCCCAGCGCUGGGCCCCUACCGGGUGAACCUGAUGGCGCUCUGCAAGGAGAUCAACGCCAGGACGCAGAGGUACAAGCCCGACACCCCGAUACGGGUCACCGUGACCGUCUACAGGGACAGCACCUUCCAGCUCGUGGUGAAGCCGCCCUCGGUGUCGUGGCUCCUCAAGAAGGCCGCCGGGAUCCAGACCGCCAGCCGGUUCCCCGGCCACGUCACCGCCGCGUCCCUCACCGUCCGCCACGUGUACGAGAUCGCGAGGCUGAAGCUGGGUGACGACCCCUCCUGCAAGUACGCGUCGCUUGAGGCCAUGUGCAAGUCCGUCGUCGCCACGGCCCGCUCCAUGGGGAUCGCCAUCGUCAGAGAUCUGUGAUCGAUCGAGCAGCGCGUUUGUCUAGUUGGUGCUGUAACGGCUAAUAGUGUUAGUGUCUCUUCUUUAAAAAAAUCAGCCAUGGCAGGGGCAGGCGCGGUGGCCUUCAUAGCCACAGUCUGGCGGCGAUGGGAAACAAUUGUUUAAGAUAUGGUAUAUACUGCAACGUCAAAUCGUCGUCCUUCA